AUUGAUGAACACUUGGCCAGAAAUCUCAACUGUAAGCUGCAGCCAAUCAUCCAUAUCUGUGUUAGUAGCAGGUGGAGAAAAAUUGGUGAGUAAUGUUAUUUGUAACCCAUUAACCUAGAGGAUGCAGAAUUUGAAGUUUCAAUAUCAGUGGAAGGUCUCAAAUUGGAAGGAAGUGAUACGGUGCUUGGAGUAGAUUGGUUAAACCAGUUUAACCCUGUACUCUUUGAUUUCUACAAAGGGAGUAUAACCUUUAAUCAUGGUGACACUAAGCUAGUACUAAGCCAUGAUGCAAUUAAGGAAGAAUGUUAGGUGAUGACAGAAGAGGAAGGAAGAAGCUGGUCUAGAAAACAAACCUGUGGAGUGAUAACACAAAUUGACAUAAAUGCCGAAAAGCCAGAGGUGGUACCAACUGAAAUACAAAGUUUACCAUGGUUUUCUUUUAACCAAAAGGCUUAUCCCCACCUAGGUUUAAUGACCACCAUAUUCCAAUUAAGGAAGGAGCACAACUCUUCGAACUAAGGCUAUACAGGUGCCCCUAUAUAUAAAAAGCAGAGAUUGAAAGGUUAGUUAAAGAAAUGAAAGACAGUGGAGUAAGUGAUGUAGGAUUGAUAGAGAACAGUCUACAACCAUAGAAAGAAAGAAGAAGCGCAAGGAAGAAGAAUCUGAAGAAGAGAAGAAUAGAAGGCGUAGGUUCUCCAAAAGUGACUAGUGAAAUCUUGGGAUAUAGUAC
rnacentral:lncRNA from 1 species